AUUAAAUUUCAUACAUAUUAUAUUGAAAAUUUAUAAUCUUAUAUACUACAAUAGUUAAUAACAUAUUAGAUGUGAUUCAAUUUUUAAUACAAGCCGGAAAAUCCUAGAAUUGACGGGUUUAGAUCGAUAUUAAUAUAAGAUGGUAUACUACAUGUGAAACUCUUAAAUUAACAAUCAAACUACAAGUGUAUAAUCUUAAACACUAAAUAAUAUA
rnacentral:sRNA from 1 species